rnacentral:lncRNA from 1 species
GCUUAAGGCUAAGGAUAUCUGGUGAAUAAGGAUCCUGACAUUAAACAAGCUUGGAUAUGAAGAACAACCGCCACUUCAUGCUAUUAGGGUUUUUAUCAGGUGCAUUGUGCGCCACUUUACGCCCUUGUUAAUGACACACAAUGAGACACUUUUCGCUCAGGUUGCUUGCACACAAAGUGAGACUUUGCACGCACAAUGAUGAGCACGAAAUAUGUCAAGCAUAAUGUUUUGUUAGCGUAAUGCAGGUAGCACAAUAUAUACCUUGGGGGCGAAGUGUUACCCAAGCGAAAAGCCAUCCACAUGUUCAAAGCGUUAACCGAUUGAUGGUUAGCAUUUGUUGCCAAUGUUAUUGA